rnacentral:rRNA from 1 species
AGUCGAGGGGUAUGCUUCUUCGGAAGCAGAGACCGGCGCACGGGUGCGUAACGCGUAUGCAAUCUACCUUUUACAGAGGGAUAGCCCAGAGAAAUUUGGAUUAAUACCUCAUAGCAUAGCAGUCUCGCAUGAGAUCACUAUUAAAGUCACAACGGUAAAAGAUGAGCAUGCGUCCCAUUAGCUAGUUGGUAAGGUAACGGCUUACCAAGGCUACGAUGGGUAGGGGUCCUGAGAGGGAGAUCCCCCACACUGGUACUGAGACACGGACCAGACUCCUACGGGAGGCAGCAGUGAGGAAUAUUGGACAAUGGGCGCAAGCCUGAUCCAGCCAUGCCGCGUGCAGGAUGACGGUCCUAUGGAUUGUAAACUGCUUUUAUACGAGAAGAAACACUGCUUCGUGAAGCAGCUUGACGGUAUCGUAAGAAUAAGGAUCGGCUAACUCCGUGCCAGCAGCCGCGGUAAUACGGAGGAUCCAAGCGUUAUCCGGAAUCAUUGGGUUUAAAGGGUCCGUAGGCGGUUUAAUAAGUCAGUGGUGAAAGCCCAUCGCUCAACGGUGGAACGGCCAUUGAUACUGUUAAACUUGAAUUAUUAGGAAGUAACUAGAAUAUGUAGUGUAGCGGUGAAAUGCUUAGAGAUUACAUGGAAUACCAAUUGCGAAGGCAGGUUACUACUAAUGGAUUGACGCUGAUGGACGAAAGCGUGGGUAGCGAACAGGAUUAGAUACCCUGGUAGUCCACGCCGUAAACGAUGGAUACUAGCUGUUGGAAGCAAUUUCAGUGGCUAAGCGAAAGUGAUAAGUAUCCCACCUGGGGAGUACGUUCGCA